AUUGAACGCUAGCGGGAUGCCUUACACAUGCAAGUCGAACGGAGUGGCGAACGGGUGAGUAAUGUAUCGGAACGUGCCCAGUAGCGGGGGAUAACUACGCGAAAGCGUAGCUAAUACCGCAUACUAUUGGAGCGGCCGAUAUCGGAAUAGCUAGUUGGUGGGGUAGCGGCUCACCUAGUCGACGAUCCGUAGCUGGUUUGAGAGGACGACCAGCCACACUGGGACUGAGUGACGGCCCAGACUCCUACGGGAGGCAGCAAUGGGGAAGUGUGGACAAUGGGGGAAACGCUGAUCCAGCCAUCCCGCGUGUGCGAUGAAGGCCUUCGGGUUGUAAAGCACUUUUGGCAGGAAAGCGGUACCUGCAGAAUAAGCACCGGCUAACUACGUGCCAGCCGCCGCGGUAAUUC
rnacentral:rRNA from 1 species